rnacentral:sRNA from 1 species
UGAAGAGAGUUCGCCUGAGCCAGAACCCAGGUUUCACUGAAGAAACGUCUUACAGAUUCAUUGCACUUCUGAGAUUUAAUGUUUACAACUUGGAGUUGUCGACUUUCUUAUAAGAUACAUUUUGGAAGUCAAAAUGAAAGUUUUCUGUGAAGUUUUAGAACAGUUAUACAAGAAGGUACUUCUUGGAGCCACACUUGAAAAUGACAGCCAUGAUUACACCUUUUAUCUCAACCCAGCAGUUUCAGAUCAAGAUUGCUCUACAGCCUCCUCCUUAGAAUGGGCAAACACCUGUGGUAUCCAGGACAGGCAUCAGCCCAUCUCUGUUGGUGUGGCUCCCAUUGCUGUAGCACCUGCGUGUUUGAAGACCAACUCUCAGAUGAGCAGUUCCAGAGAAGUAAUGCUCCUUCAGUUAACAGUGAUCAAAGUGAUGACAACCCGGAUAUUGUCUGUCAAAACCGAGUUCCAUGCAAAAGAGCAAUACAGAGAUGUAAUUAAAAUUCUCUUAGAAUCAGCCAAAGUCGAUUCUAAAUUAAUCUGUAUGUUCCAAAAUUCAGAUAAAUUGUUAUCUCACAUGGCCGCACAGUGCCUUGCAUUGCUUCUAUAUUUCCAAUUGAGAGAAAAGGCUUUGGUAUCAGGAUGAUGCUGGCCUCAUAAAAUGAGUUAGGGAGGAUUCCCUCUUUUUCUGUUGUUUGGAAUAGUUUCAGAAGGAAUGGUACCAGCUCCUCCUUGUACGUCUGGUAGAAUUCGGCU